UGGGGAAUUUUCCGCAAUGGGCGAAAGCCUGAUCCAGCCAUGCCGCGUGCAGGAUGACAGCCCUACGGGUCGUAAACUGCUUUUGUACGGGAAUAAACCCCCCGACGUGUCGGGGGCUGAAGGUACCGUAAGAAUAAGGAUCGGCUAACUCCGUGCCAGCAGCCGCGGUAAUACGGAGGAUCCAAGCGUUAUCCGGAUUUAUUGGGUUUAAAGGGUCCGCAGGCGGGAUGCUAAGUCAGUGGUGAAAGCCUACCGCUUAACGGUAGAACUGCCAUUGAUACUGGUAUUCUUGAGUGUAGUUGAGGUGGGCGGAAUGUGUCAUGUAGCGGUGAAAUGCAUAGAUAUGACACAGAACACCGAUUGCGAAGGCAGCUCACUAAACUAUUACUGACGCUGAGGGACGAAAGCGUGGGGAGCGAACA
rnacentral:rRNA from 1 species